rnacentral:rRNA from 1 species
UACGUAGGGUGCGAGCGUUGUCCGGAUUUAUUGGGCGUAAAGAGCUUGUAGGCGGCUCGUCACGUCGGGUGUGAAAACUUGCGGCUUAACCGCAAGCCUGCACCCGAUACGGGCGGGCUAGAGGUCGGCAGGGGAGACUGGAAUUCCUGGUGUAGCGGUGGAAUGCGCAGAUAUCAGGAGGAACACCGGUGGCGAAGGCGGGUCUCUGGGCCGAUACUGACGCUGAGAAGCGAAAGCGUGGGGAGCGAACAGG